rnacentral:ncRNA from 1 species
CAGAGUAGAGGUUUGUGCGUUGCCUAAGGCUAAGUGCUUGACAGACGGGGAGUUGCUGCUGAGACGAAUGGAUUUUCUUUCCUGCGGUUCAAACCUUGCAUCCCGCUG